UACGUAGGGGGCAAGCGUUGUCCGGAAUCAUUGGGCGUAAAGCGCGCGUAGGCGGCCCGGUAAGUCCGCUGUAAAAGUCCAGGGCUCAACCCUGGAAAGCCGGUGGAUACUGUCGGGCUAGAGUCCGGAAGAGGCGAGUGGAAUUCCUGGUGUAGCGGUGAAAUGCGCAGAUAUCAGGAGGAACACCCAUUGCGAAGGCAGCUCGCUGGGACGUUACUGACGCUGAGACGCGAAAGCGUGGGGAGCAAACAGG
rnacentral:rRNA from 1 species